CGGGUGAGUAAUAUAUCGGAACGUAUCCAAUAAAGGGGAGUAACUAGUCGAAAGAUUAGCUAAUACCGCAUACGCCCUCGAGGGGGGAAAGGACUGGGGAGUCUUCGGACCUAGCGUUAAUGGAGCGGCCGAUAUCUGAUUAGCUAGUAGGUGAGGUAAGAGCUCACCUAGGCGACGAUCAGUAGCUGGUCUGAGAGGACGACCAGCCACACUGGAACUGAGACACGGUCCAG
rnacentral:rRNA from 1 species